CCUGCCCCUGGAGAUAUUAUAGAUGUGGUUGCUCUGCCACAGGUAGCAGAGAAGAGAGAGGUUAUGUCUAUGAUCAGUGUUCUGGCCUGUAACAUCUGAAUGAUUAGUAGUCUAACAUU
ensembl:snoRNA LOC120095453 small nucleolar RNA SNORA17